rnacentral:rRNA from 1 species
AUUGAACGCUGGCGGCAGGCCUAACACAUGCAAGUCGAGCGGAUGAACGGAGCUUGCUCCUGGAUUCAGCGGCGGACGGGUGAGUAAUGCCUAGGAAUCUGCCUGGUAUUGGGGGCUAACGUCCCGAAACGGGCGCUAAUACCGCAUACGUCCAUAGGGAGAAAGGGGGGGAUCUUUGGACCUCACGCUAUCAGAUGAGCCUAGGCGGGAUUACCUAGUUGGUGGGGUAAAGGCCUACCAAGGCGACGUUCCGUAGCUGCCCUGCGAGGAUGACCAGUCACCCUGAACUGGGGCACGGGUCCAGAUCCCUAGGGGGGGCAGCGGUGGGAAAUAUUCGACAAGGGGGGAAGGCCUGCGCCGGCCAGGCGGCGUGGGGGAAGAAGGUCUUCGGUUGGUAAAGCACGUUAAGUGGGGAGGAAGGGCAGUAAGUUAACACCUUGCUGUUUGGCCGUAACCAACAGAAUAGGCACCGGCUAAUAUGGU